rnacentral:misc_RNA from 1 species
UCAAACUAUAUGCUGCCUUGCAAUAGAUGUAACAAAAUAUAGUACUCAUAUAAUAAUAUGCAUUUUACAAGCGUAUUUUGAUCCUUGCUUUGAUAUCGUCGUGAUAUUAUGUAUAGGGUGUGUAUAUGAUUUAAGUAUCUCUUCCUUCUCCCUUCGUUUUUGUGUCGUUUCACGCAAGAACAAAAAUGCGGACAACAGUGAUGUGUGUCGUGAUCGCGAUGCUCUCUAGUCCAACCUAAAUGUGAACUAAUUAUCGAUAACUUUUAUAGUAGAUGAACGGUGUAUAUGCUGGUGUGUAGAUGUGUGCGUGUAUGUGUACAUGUAUACAAGCGUGGUUUUACAAUAAAAACCACGCGAUGUACGUGACGACGAAACCUGUGUUCGCUUUUACCAGUGGCACGUUAAUGCUAUUGAUAAUUCUUACAUCUUGCCGCUUGUUUUGGAUCUACGACAACGACGUUGCACUGAUUAGAGUCACUGAUUAUGUUCAUUGUGUACAUUCUGUAUCCUGCCAUAAUCAAGAUAAACUUGGGUUUCACGGGGCUUACACGUUAUAAAUAGCUGAACCCUUUGAGAACAAUUUCUAUAAACAGUCUUGAAUCGUAAGAAUUAAAACUAAUAUCCAUAUAUAUUCAUGAUCAUAAUACAUACUCUUUCGAAAUAUUUUCUAGAAUUCCUUCUUUUUAUUUUAUCAAUAUAUUCAUUUUAAGUAUUUCGUUAUAUCGAAAUAGAGGCUUGUUCUCAAAGGAUUGUUUAACGUUCGAGGAAAGAAUGUUUUUAAGAAACUCGUUACAGAUACCAAUAUAACGUAUUCGUCUAAAUUAACCUACUCUAAAUAUUGCAAUGCUCGUUGCAAUGACGUGGCAAUUCCAUCGGAUAUUUAACGUACCUACUGAUCUUCUAAACGUGUAUUUAUCAUCCUCUCUUCGUGAUCGAUCUCAACGAAAAAUAAAAAAACGAAAAGAGAAAUUACGUAUUUCAGUGAGAGUAAUACUUGCUCUUUGUAUAAUAUCAAAGGAUCCUGGGAUACUCAGGAGGUUUCUGGAAUGAUAGCGAAGUACCUAAGGGAUACCUUAAUCGAUGUAUUACACGGCUCUACUCGGAUUCUCGGGUUAACUCGGUAUAAAUAACACAUGAGAUACAAAAGAUGGACAGUUGAUGGAAGAAGGUGAGCUCCUUCGACUAACCUGGAAUGCUGGAAAUGCAAAGGAAGAGUCUUUAACCUUCGAAUGGGAUAUGACACUAUCGCGUCUGUUCGAGAAUCCUAAUCAAGAAUCAGACAGAACUUACAAUAUCGCUGAACGUUGUAUGAGCGUAAACACUAUAAAGAGAUUAAAAUGCUCGAUGGCACCCGUCUAUCUUGGAAUGGCGACGUUCAAAGUUAUACUUCUUUAGCUCUACGUACAAGUCUUGGUAUAAAAUAAGCUUGCUUCGUGCACGUCGACCAGUCGAAACACCGACCAUCGGUUCUUUUAAAAACGUAUAAACAAGACUUUAAACUCUAAAACCGACGAUACGAUAAAAUAGAGUGAAAUUUUCUCUGCAUAUACAUUUAU